AGGAAGUUUCAUCCGACUACAAGACGUUACAGCAAGUGCUUUUUGGGAGGCAACCCAUGUUUUGCGUUCCUAAAAACCUUCAUUUUUCUGCAAUUUUAUUUUGCCAUGAUUGUCAUUUUUAUUGUUUUUGGUGUAGGUUUAUUUUUGAAACAUUGACAGAUAUGCAAGGUAUUUUACAUUAAAAUUUGUUGAAAAUGAACAGGAGGCAAAGAAUACAAGAGGGAGCCUUCACAAAGGCUGCUUAGGAGAAGUCUCAGUGGUUGACGAAGCCUCAGCAGUCGGCGGAGCCACAGAAGGAGGAGGUAUCGGAGGUUGAUCAUUUGGAGCUUUACUACGUGGUACAACCCUAGAAGACAAAGGCAAAUACUGUUGGAACAAACCCACAAACCUCUGAUGAUCAAGUAAAAUUUGACCAUCAGAUUCCUGCAUCUGGUCAAUCUUCCUCUUCAUGUUUGUAGCAUAGUUGUGUGCAAGCCUGUGUAACUGUUUAUUCUCAUGCUUGAGCCCUCUAAUCUCCUGUUUGAGACUCAUCACUUCAGCCGCUAAUGAUUCAACUUGACAGGUUUGAGCAAAUAGACGUUGGGCCAUAUUGGACACAGAACCUGCAUACUGCACACUGAGAGCCAGAGAAUUCUUAACAGCCAACUCAUCAGAUCGUUUGGAAAGUAGUCAGUUAUAUUUGGGAAUAACAAGGUUUUGGGCCACCACCGCAACGGUCAUAUCAUUUUUCAUCACUGAAUCCCCAACGGUAAGAGGAUCAGUAAGGGAUAUGAAGGAUGGGCGCCAUAUGUUGUCUGGAUAAGACAUGGAUGCCUCUUCACCAAGGUUCAAGUAAAAAACACAGUCGGAGGGGCAAGACAUUUUCAAAGGUGUUGAAGAAAGAAGAGGUCGGACAAAUCAGGAUCUUAGAAGUGCAAGAAGGGAGUUUCUACAGGCGAAAAUUCAAGUGUACUUUGAAACGAACUGCGCGCCUCUAUAAAAAUCAGCACUCGAUGAGAUUUCAGAGAUCGAAGAGGUGAGCUUAGAAAUCGAAGAGGCCAAUUCAAAAAUCGAAGAGACGCUAGCUUUCUCAAAAGCUAGGCUUGCUCAGAAACCACGGGCCAUCCUCUUUUCCAAAUUUGUCCGCACUUGUCACAUGCAACCUCUGCACUAGACAGAGCUCAGAAAUCGAAGAGGUAAGCUCAGAAAUCGGAGAGGCAUUUUGCUUUUCCAGAUGCACACUCAGCCUUGCAGAAAUUACGAGCAA
rnacentral:lncRNA from 1 species